GGUUGAUUUUGCAGAUUGGCUUUGAAGAUUAAAACUUUACAACGGUACCCUUGAAACCCAAAUCUGAUCAAAAAUGUGGAAGAAAACGUUGUUUUUUCAGACUCGAAGAAGAUUAUUUUAUGGAGAGCGUGCAUUUCGGUUCACUGUGAUCUGCUCCAGCCACUUCAGAGUUCCAUCAGUCCGGACCUUUUGAAGAAAAAGAAAAUAUGGUCUGUCAUCGGCUUAUAAUUAUUAAAAUUUAAACUUAAA